rnacentral:rRNA from 1 species
UACGGAGGGGGCUAGCGUUGUUCGGAAUUACUGGGCGUAAAGCGCACGUAGGCGGCUUUGCAAGUUAGAGGUGAAAGCCCGGGGCUCAACUCCGGAAUUGCCUUUAAAACUGCAUCGCCAGAGUUGUGGAGAGGUAAGUGGAAUUCCGAGUGUAGAGGUGAAAUUCGUAGAUAUUCGGAAGAACACCAGUGGCGAAGGCGACUUACUGGACACAUACUGACGCUGAGGUGCGAAAGCGUGGGGAGCAAACAGG